rnacentral:rRNA from 1 species
CUCCUGUUGGAUGGUGGUUUAAGCGUUUAGGAGUGCCCGGUAGGCAAAUCCGCUGGGAUUAUCUGAGACGUGAUGACGAGGCUCUUUGAGCUGAAGUUGCUGAUACCCCGCUUCCAAGAAAAACCUCUAAGCUUCAGGCAGAUACGAGCCGUACCCCAAACCGACACAGGUGGGCGAGGAGAGUAUCCUCAGGCGUUUGAGACAACUCGGGAGAAGGAACUCGGCAAAUUAGAACCGUAACUUCGGGAUAAGGUUCGCCCACGCAAGUGGGCCGCAGUGAAGAGGGGGUUGCGACUGUUUAUCAAAAACACAGCACUCUGCAAACACGAAAGUGGACGUAUAGGGUGUGACUCCUGCCCGGUGCUGGAAGGUUAAUUGAUGGGGUCAGCCGCAAGGCGAAGCUCUUGAUCGAAGCCCCAGUAAACGGCGGCCGUAACAAUAACGGUCCUAAGGUAGCGAAAUUCCUUGUCGGGUAAGUUCCGACCUGCACGAAUGGAGUAACGAUAGCCCCACUGUCUCCUUCCGAGGCUCAGUGAAAUUGAAAUCGCUGUGACGAUGCAGUGUUCCCGCGGCAAGACGGAAAGACCCCGUGAACCUUUACUAUAUCUUUACAUUGGUGAGUUUGUUUGUGUAGGAUAGGUGGGAGGCAUUGAAACCUGGACGCUAGUUCAGGUGGAGCCAACCUUGAAAUACCACCCUGAUAAACUCGGAAUUCUAACCCCGACCAGUCAUCCUGGUCAGGGACAAUGUAUGGUGGGUAGUUUGACUGGGGCGGUCUCCUCCCAAAGAGUAACGGAGGAGUGCGAAGGUCAGCUCAGCGCGGUCGGAAAUCGCGCUCUUGAGUGCAUAGGCACAAGCUGGCUUGACUGCGAGACAGACGAGUCGAGCAGGUACGAAAGUAGGUCUAAGUGAUCCGGUGGUUCUGUAUGGAAGGGCCAUCGCUCAACGGAUAAAAGGUACUCCGGGGAUAACAGGCUGAUACUGCCCAAGAGUCCAUAUCGACGGCAGUGUUUGGCACCUCGAUGUCGGCUCAUCACAUCCUGGGGCUGUAGCAGGUCCCAAGGGUCCGGCUGUUCGCCGGUUAAAGUGGUACGCGAGCUGGGUUCAGAACGUCGUGAGACAGUUCGGUCCCUAUCUGCCGUGGGCGUUCGAGAUUUGAGAGGAGUUAACCUUAGUACGAGAGGACCGGGUUGAACGUAUCUCUGGUGUUCCAGUUGUCACGCCAGUGGCAUCGCUGGGUAGCUAUAUACGGACGGGAUAAACGCUGAAAGCAUCUAAGCGUGAAGCCCACCUCAAGAUGAGAUCUCGCGGGUCUUCGAGACCCCUAAAGAGCCCUUGUAGACCACAAGGUUGAUAGGCACGGUGUGUACGGCCGGUAACGGUCAGCUAACGUGUACUAAUUGCUCGUGCGGCUUGACCAA